GCCUGGGUGGCUCAGUGGUUGAGCACCUGCCUUGGGCUCAGGUUGUGAUCCCAGGCU
rfam:Canis lupus familiaris chromosome 19, whole genome shotgun sequence.